UACGGAGGGUGCAAGCGUUACUCGGAAUCACUGGGCGUAAAGAGCGUGUAGGCGGGUAUAUAAGUCAGAAGUGAAAUCCAAUAGCUUAACUAUUGAACUGCUUUUGAAACUGUAUACCUAGAAUGUGGGAGAGGUAGAUGGAAUUUCUGGUGUAGGGGUAAAAUCCGUAGAGAUCAGAAGGAAUACCGAUUGCGAAGGCGAUCUACUGGAACAUUAUUGACGCUGAGACGCGAAAGCGUGGGGAGCAAACAGG
rnacentral:rRNA from 3 species